rnacentral:rRNA from 1 species
GAUGAACGCUGGCGGCGUGCCUAAUACAUGCAAGUCGAGCGAACGGAUAAGGAGCUUGCUCCUUUGAAGUUAGCGGCGGACGGGUGAGUAACACGUGGGUAACCUACCUAUAAGACUGGAAUAACUUCGGGAAACCGGAGCUAAUGCCGGAUAACAUUUGGAACCGCAUGGUUCUAAAGUAAAGAUGGUUUUGCUAUCACUUAUAGAUGGACCCGCGCCGUAUUAGCUAGUUGGUGAGGUAACGGCUCACCAAGGCGACGAUGCGUAGCCGACCUGAGAGGGUGAACGGCCACACUGGGACUGAGACACGGCCCAG